rnacentral:ribozyme from 1 species
CUUGCACCCAUACAUACACAAUGAACUGCAAACUUUUUUGAAUCUCUCUCUAUAUUAUAUGUGUACAUGAAUAUCACGGGCGCGCACAC